GACGAACGCUGGCGGCAUGCCUUACACAUGCAAGUCGAACGGCAGCACGGGUGCUUGCACCUGGUGGCGAGUGGCGAACGGGUGAGUAAUACAUCGGAACGUACCUUAUCGUGGGGGAUAACGCAGCGAAAGCUGUGCUAAUACCGCAUACGCCCUGAGGGGGAAAGCGGGGGAUCGCAAGACCUCGCGCGAUUAGAGCGGCCGAUGCCUGAUUAGCUUGUUGGUGGGGUAAAAGCCCACCAAGGCGACGAUCAGUAGCUGGUCUGAGAGGACGAUCAGCCACACUGGGACUGAGACACGGCCCAGACUCCUACGGGAGGCAGCAGUGGGGAAUUUUGGACAAUGGGGGCAACCCUGAUCCAGCAAUGCCGCGUGAGUGAAGAAGGCCUUCGGGUUGUAAAGCUCUUUUGUCAGGGAAGAAACACCGGCUCUAACACAGUCUGGGAAUGACGGUACCUGAAGAAUAAGCACCGGCUAACUACGUGCCAGCCGCCGCGGUAAUAC
rnacentral:rRNA from 1 species